rnacentral:misc_RNA from 1 species
CGCACAUUGCGCCCUUUGGCAUUCCGAAGGGCAUGCCCGUUCGAGCGUCAUUAAAUCCAAUCAAGCCUGGCUUGGUAUUAAGCAUUCGGGCUCCCGAUGCUUCAAUUUCACCGGCUGGCCGUCGCCCGUCUUAGCGUUGUGACACAAUCUCGCUUCUGACGGUCGGGGACCACGCCGUUAAACCGCACAGAUUUCUCAUCGAAAUUUGAUUAAGGUUGACCUCGGAUCGGGUAGGAAUACCCGCUGAACUUAA